rnacentral:rRNA from 1 species
GACGUAGGGCGCGAGCGUUGUCCGGAUUUAUUGGGCGUAAAGAGCUCGUAGGCGGCUUGUCGCGUCGUCCGUGAAAACCCACAGCUCAACUGUGGGCUUGCGGUCGAUACGGGCAGGCUAGAGUUCGGUAGGGGAGACUGGAAUUCCUGGUGUAGCGGUGAAAUGCGCAGAUAUCAGGAGGAACACCGGUGGCGAAGGCGGGUUGCUGGGCUGACACUGACGCUGAGGCGCGAAAGCUAGGGUAGCAAACGGG